rnacentral:misc_RNA from 1 species
GAUGAAGAACGUAGCGAAAUGCGAUAAGUAAUGUGAAUUGCAGAAUUCAGUGAAUCAUCGAAUCUUUGAACGCACAUUGCGCCCGUUAGCAUUCUAGCGGGCAUGCCUGUCCGAGCGUCAUUUCAACCCUCAGGGUCCCCGUUCCGGCGGGGAACCUGGUGUUGGGGAUCGGCCCGCCCCGUGCGGCGCCGUCCCCCAAAUUCAGUGGCGGUCUCGCUGCAGCCUCCCCUGCGUAGUAGUUACAACCUCGCAUCGGAGCUCAGCGCGGCCACGCCGUAAAACCCCCGACUUUCUGAACGUUGACCUCGGAUCAGGUAGGAAUACCCACUGAACUUAAGCAUAUCAAUAAGCGGAGGA